UUCUUCGACCUUCCCACCACAAAUACACAUGAAACGGGUUGGGGCAUGCAAUCAUUCAUGCAUCUUCAUCACCCGUAGAGGGAUUUUAAUUGUCCAUCUCCUUCCGGUGACGGGACAAACUGGAGCCCUCUCCGCCACCACCGCUCCACCGGACGCCUGCUCGGCGAAUCUGAGUUGAAUCCCUCACCUUGACUCAUCUCCUUCCGGUACCAUGUGGCGGCUGGACGGGACAAAUCUGCAGGCAUAUCGCCGCGGCCACCGCGCAGCCUCUGCAGCUGCAUAUUCGAUGGGACUUGGUGCAGGUGCAGAUAGGAGCAAGAUGGCUUAUAAUAUUAUCAAGAAAUUAACGACUUGGGUUGUGGUCUUUAUUAGGUUCGAUUUCUUUCUGGUCUGUAGUCCAACUGCUCCGAACUACACACAAUUUGAAGGCCAACAAGCUGACCUGGUGAUCUUCGGACAGAGACGCUGUUGUCAUUGAUCCAAGCUUCUACCACAGAUAAUCAAUGUUUUGCAUGCCUUAUCCCGGAAGGUUUUUCUUUUUGCCGGCCUUUAUGCCCCCUCGGUUCUUUCAUGUGGGAGCUCAUGUUCACGGUGGUGUAUAUAUCCAGAGCAAUUCCUUUCUUACCGCUUGGUACCCUUGAUUGCUAUUCCUUCAUUCAGCUUACAAUGUUUUCUGA